AAGUUUGUAGAUUCUGUCUGAUGAUGUCACUGACACAAAGAAGAAAAUGCAAGACAGGUAGCCUUCAAUCUGUGUGCUGGUGAGACCAGCUGUAUUUUGGCCAUGGCUUUGCUGAGUACUCUGGAAGCAGUGUGGCUGGGGUUUCUCCUCAACUCUCUCUGGAAGGUUGCAGAGAGCAGGGACCAAGUGUUUCAGCCUUCUACUGUGGCAUCUUCAGAGGGAGCUGUGGUGGAAAUCUCCUGCAAUCACUCUGUGUCCAAUGCUUACAACUUCUUCUGGUACCUUCACUCCCCAGGAUGUGCUCCAAGACUCCUUGUUAAGGGUUCAAGGCCUUCUCAGCAGGGACGGUACAACAUGACAUAUGAACGAUUCUCUUCAUCACUGCUCAUCCUGCAGGUGCAAGAGGCAGAUGCUGCCGUUUACUACUGUGCUCUGGAGCACACAGAGGCAGGGAACCUAUGA